rnacentral:tmRNA from 1 species
GGGGCCGAUAUGGUUUCGACCGAGCGUGUGACGUUUGGUGUGGCGCGUCGUGGAGCAUGCAGGCCACGUAAAAAGCAUGCAAAACAAUAGUUGCCAAUAACAACUACGCUCUCGCUGCCUAAUAUUAGGUAGCACGUUCCGGUUGGCUCGGCCCGUGGCCGAUCGGAACGAAAACAACGGGCUGGCCUCUGCCUGGCGUCCCCGGGGAAUGAGGUGAGAUACACCGGGUACUAGGAACGGAGCAAGCCUGCCGCGGGCGUGCCCGGACCGAACGCAAAUCACCGGCUACACGCGUAGAGAUGCCAAGCCGACCGUCCCGGCACGGGGGUUCGAUUCCCCCCGGCUCCAUUC